rnacentral:rRNA from 1 species
AACGAACGCUGGCGGCAUGCCUAACACAUGCAAGUCGAACGAGACCUUCGGGUCUAGUGGCGCACGGGUGCGUAACGCGUGGGAACCUGCCCUUAGGUUCGGAAUAACUCCCCGAAAGGGGUGCUAAUACCGGCUAAUGUCUUCGGACCAAAGAUUUAUCGCCUUUGGAUGGGCCCGCGUUGGAUUAGCUAGUUGGUAGGGUAAAAGCCUACCAAGGCGACGAUCCAUAGCUGGUCUGAGAGGAUGAUCAGCCACACUGGGACUGAGACACGGCCCAGACUCCUACGGGAGGCAGCAGUGGGGAAUAUUGGACAGUGGGCGAAAGCCUGAUCCAGCAAUGCCGCGUGAGUGAUGAAGGCCUUAGGGUUGUAAAGCUCUUUUACCCGGGAUGAUAAUGACAGUACCGGGAGAAUAAGCACCGGCUAACUCCGUG